GAUGAACGCUGGCGGCGUGCUUAACACAUGCAAGUCGAACGAAGCACUUUAUUUGAUUUCCUUCGGGACUGAUUAUUUUGUGACUGAGUGGCGGACGGGUGAGUAACGCGUGGGUAACCUGCCUUGUACAGGGGGAUAACAGUUGGAAACGGCUGCUAAUACCGCAUAAGCGCACGGCAUCGCAUGAUGCAGUGUGAAAAACUCCGGUGGUAUAAGAUGGACCCGCGUCGGAUUAGCUAGUUGGUGGGGUAACGGCCCACCAAGGCGACGAUCCGUAGCCGACCUGAGAGGGUGACCGGCCACAUUGGGACUGAGACACGGCCCAAACUCCUACGGGAGGCAGCAGUGGGGAAUAUUGCACAAUGGGCGAAAGCCUGAUGCAGCGACGCCGCGUGAGCGAAGAAGUAUUUCGGUAUGUAAAGCUCUAUCAGCAGGGA
rnacentral:rRNA from 1 species